UUUCUUUCUCUUUCCCUUCAUUUUUAUUUCCCUCCUAGCCAACCCUAACUUUCCCCUUUCACGAUCCGCACACGCGCGAAAUAAUUUCCCCUUUUUCACUCCGCGCGCGAACGCGAAUCCUCUUUCCCCUUCGCCUCUUUCCGCUUCUUCGCCGCUUCUUCGCCGCAGAGUUAGGGUUCCCCUUUGCUCGGAACCCUUCGCCUCUUUCCGCUUCUUCGCCGCUUAACUCUGCGCAAAACCCUAACUUCGCCGCCUCUUUCCGCUUCGCCGCUUCGCCCCAAUCUUGUCGGACCUCCUUAAUUUCUCCCUUCUCUAACUCCCAUCGCCUUCUCCAAGCUCUGAGGAUGCCCUAGCUCCGCCGCUUCGCCGGAGCUCCACCCGAGGCCGGAGCUCCACCCGAGCGCCCUCACGUCGCCGGAGUUCUACCAAACUCGCGCCUUCCUCAACCUGCUGCGACCUUUUUGUCUGUUUACUGUGCAAACUUCUCCUCUUCGCCGCUUUGCCUCUCCGCGAACGCCUACGGUGCAGACUUCCUCUCUUCAAUCAACUUCCUCGAUCGACGACGCCGUGUUAACCUCCUCAUUUUCGGCAAGCUUUUUUCUCAAGCUUCUUCCAGGUUUGUAGUUAUUUUUUAAAAAAUCUCCAUUAGGGUUCUUUCCUUCUCUUAUGAUCUGCUUGUGCGAAAUAGAAUAGCUAUUAGUUUCCUGUUGAAGUAAUAAUUUACCUAGGCGAGUAGGCUAGUUUGAUCAAUCCAGUUUGAGUUCUUUUGCCUUUACUUUCGGUUUGAGAUCUUGUGGAGGUUCCCAGCUACCAAAAUACAGUUCUAAGAUAAGCUCUUGGUUUUCUUUCUGGACAGAACAGAGUAUAGUAGCAAGACAAGAAUACAUAUUAGCUUCGUAAUUUAGUUUCAUAAAGGUGUAAAUUAACUAAAUGAGUGGCUGUAUUCAUAAAUAUUCUAAAGUUUUAAUAGCAAACUCUACUUCAAUCCAAAAAAAAAAAACUUACAUUGCUAUGAAAUGCUAAAAUUUUAUAGUGAGGAUGCUAAGUGUGCCAGCUUUUGCAUUUGGCUUAA